CCAUGAGAAUCAUGGUAAAAUCCCCCAAGUGCAAAAUACUCUGGAUGGCAUGUGACCCUUAACUUGGACCUCAAAUAUAGCAAAGGCUACUGAAAAGGCUAAGAAACACUUCUUGGGUAUCUACUGAGCCCCAUCACUUGUGAAAGAUUAAACUCACGUAUUAGAAAUAUGUCGAGGCUAUCACUAAAAUACUAUUUUUGCUUUUUCUAGCAAAAAAAGAAGUUUCCACUACAUUGUUUUCUGUGCUUCUCAAAAGACUAAUUAUCUUAAUGGUUAGAAAUCUGCAUUUUAUUCCUGUAUAUCCAGCUUUAUCUGACCUCUACUCAACCUCAUUAUAGUUGCUUCUGCCAGCAGAUGUUACUCGUAUUUAGACACUUAAAGAAGGUCGGGUUACCACAUGGCCUGCUGAUCAAUAAGCUGAAUAAAACUUGUGCAACUCCUCUGUCAUGAUAACACUACUUUUCUGUUUCUCUAAAGACUCUUAGUGUUCAUAUGUGACCACCAAAGUUUGCACACAUAUGUGUGUAAAGCCACAAUGACAAAAAUGGAGCAGGCAAAAUAGGUUGGUGUGUUAUCACAUAGGCACCAUAUGAUCAUAUAUGAUCACUAUGUUACCAUAUUGGCACUUAUACCUGUAUGUGCCGUGACCACAAACUGAAAUAUAAAAGCAAAAUACCCAACCAGGCUGGUGUCACACCCAGGCUGGGACCUUCACAACAGAUGUCAAGAGCAGAAAGAAGACAAGGUUGCAAUAAAAGACCACGUUCAGAGAAUAUAAUUUGUCGGAAGAAAAAAGACAAGCGAGAAAGAUGGAUGCUAACUUGGGAAGAUAAUUGCAAGCUUACCUGGAAACAAAUUGUCUGAGAGUGUUUGUGCUCUGAUCAAAUCAUCUUUACAGCCAUGUUUUGUAGAGAGGCAGGCCUAUUCAGCAGAGAAUCAGAGGAGCUUGAGACACUUGGCAUCUUGCAAAAUAAGCCAAAACUGAUGUGUUCUCAAAGCGUAUAUCAGCUUUCAUAUGCAGCUCAGUGAAUCUUCUUGGUUUUCUUACUUUUGAAGAAUUAAUCAAUUUUGCAUUUGUGAAAUAACAAUUCUUAGGAGAGUAACAUAUCCCAUAAUCUACUCUAAUUGAUCUUACUAAUUCACUUAGCCAUCCCAACUGUUUUGCUGUUGUUGCCCAGUUCACAGGCUUGCUAUAACACUGUAACAGAAAACAUCAGAGUCUUGUGAGCCAACUUAUUUUUUUUUAAAUUUAUGCAAAUAAAAUUCACAAAGGCUUCUAGUUUAUAUGUGUGGGUACUGACUAGUACAAAGAAAAACCCCCAAAACAACAACAACAAAGACUGAUACCCAUUUACAAGCAUCUAAUCAGGUUUGCUGCACUCAAAAAGACCACUUUCUAUUCAUAUAAGUUUCUCUAACAAAUUGCUUUAGCAGC
rnacentral:lncRNA from 1 species